UACGAGAGGCCCAAACGUUAUUCGGAAUUACUGGGCUUAAAGAGUUCGUAGGCGGCAUUGCAAGUAGGGUGUGAAAGCCCUCGGCUCAACCGAGGAAUUGCGCUCUAAACUGCAGUGCUCGAGGAACCUAGAGGUGAGCAGAACAGAUGGUGGGGCGGUGAAAUGCGUUGAUAUCAUCUGGAAUACCGGAGGCGAAGGCGGCUCACUGGGGGUUUUCUGACGCUGAGGAACGAAAGCCAGGGUAGCGAACGGG
rnacentral:rRNA from 1 species